UUUUUUUUUUUUUUUUUUUUUUUUUUUUUUUUUUUUUUUUUUCUCCG
rnacentral:ribozyme from 13 species